CGUACAAUAGCCCAUGACUCCUCUCCCAUACCCAAUAAUGCACCAACCGCACGAUAGCCACAAUGACCGUCAGCCUUAACAUCAACAAUAUCAACAAUGUAAGGAUGAAUUUCCACCGGAAAUUGUUGUAGCAUUGGUAUUGAUUUGGUCGGAGGAGUCUCUGAAAUAAAUCCCUUGCUACAUUUCAAACUAGAUGAACUAUCAUGUUGUGAAAGAAUGGCAUCAACAUGUUCAAAGUAAGAAGGAAUUCGCUUCGUUGAUCUACCAAUUUUACUCUGACGCCCUUUUAGUGCACCUUUUGUUUUGACUUUCUCCCUUGGUGGACAUAAAGAUGUGUUAUCUGGAUAGGCAAUCUCACGUAAUUUGGCUUUGAUGUUAAUCUUACCAGCCAUGUCAACCUCCUUGAAACGAUUCAUGAUGACAGCCCACUCUUGUUGGAUGGACAACUCUGCUGAAGUAUCAUCACUUGAAAUAUCUAAAAAGCUUAAUCGUGUCCAAAUGAGAUGCACUGACUGCAAUGGUAUGCUACCCACACCAAAGGAAGCCAGUUCACAAGCACAAGGAAGGCCAUGAGUAGAUCUAAUGGUGCACCCACAAUGAGAUUUAUCUAAACCAACAUAUUGAACUCGAUCACUCUCUUCUGCAAUAUACUGCAAAGCAUAUUUCGAUACGAAGCCAAGCAAUUUCUUAUAUCUUGUUACAUUGAAGACAUGACUCACUACAUGCAAACUCUUUUCAAAUGAAGAUUUAAUUGCAUUAUGUUGCAAGAUGAUCAUCUUAUUAAUGGAUUCCCAACAAAAGCAUAAGUCCCCCAUUGACGUCUCAAGGAUCCUCUUUAAACUCCAAUGUGCAGACUCAACCCUGUUACUUGUCGUGUUGCCUAAGUGCAUGACUUUAUC
rnacentral:lncRNA from 1 species